ensembl:lncRNA
CAAUGGUGAAGGGGCAGUUGACGAAGGCGGCCCUAACAGAGAGUACCUAAGGCUGUUGAUGAGGGCCGUCCACCAAUCAAACAUCUUUGAUGGACAUGAGAAAGACCGGCAGUUGCGUCAUGGUAUUCAAGCUUUACAGAGUAAACUGUACAUCUGGGUGGGGAAAAUGAUAGCUGUGUGCGUCAUUCAUGGAGGAGUUGGUCUGCAUUUCUUCUCAGAAAGGCUUUUCCGGCAAAUCUGUGGAAUGGAAAUGACCCCGGCCACGGUCGAUGAAGUUGGCGACCAUACUUUUAGGGAGCAGUGGUUUUAUACAUUGAAUACACAGGAUGCAACAACAGUCAGAGAGGCAAACAACGCAAUU